AUUGAACGCUGGCGGCAGGCUUAACACAUGCAAGUCGAGCGGAGUGAUGGUGCUUGCACUAUCACUUAGCGGCGGACGGGUGAGUAAUGCUUAGGAAUCUGCCUAUCAGUGGGGGACAACAUCUCGAGAGGGAUGCUAAUACCGCAUACGUCCUACGGGAGAAAGCAGGGGAUCACUUGUGACCUUGCGCUAAUAGAUGAGCCUAAGUCGGAUUAGCUAGUUGGUGGGGUAAAGGCCUACCAAGGCGACGAUCUGUAGCGGGUCUGAGAGGAUGAUCCGCCACACUGGGACUGAGACAAGGCCCAGACUCCUACGGGAGGCAGCAGUGGGGAAUAUUGGACAAUGGGGGGAACCCUGAUCCAGCCAUGCCGCGUGUGUGAAGAAGGCCUUAUGGUUGUAAAGCACUUUAAGCGAGGAGGAGGCUCUUUUGGUUAAUACCCAAGAUGAGUGGACGUUACUCGCAGAAUAAGCACCGGCUAACUCUGUGCCAGCCGCCGCCGUAACAC
rnacentral:rRNA from 1 species